AUCAAGACCUGAGCUGAGAUCAAGAGUUAGAUGAUCGAGUCGCCCCAAAUGCUGAAGAGAGUACCCUGGAUGAGAAACACAUAUACCCCAAUAACUGGAAAAGUAUAUCCUACUUCUUCAAGUUGCGCUGAGGAUAAAAUUCAAACCCCACCAAGAUCGCACAGACCUUGUGAUCUGGCCACUACUGAUUUCUCCAAGCUCAACUCCCAAUACUGCCCCCCUUCACUGUAAGUUGUAGUCACACUGGUUCCUUUCCAUUUCUGAAACACUCCAAAAUUUUCCCUGCCUACAGCCUUUGCCCUUCUAGUUUACCUGAGAGCAAUGCUUUUCCUCAGAUCCCCCUAUGGCUGGUUACUUCUUACCAAUCUUGUCUCAGCUAAAUGCCACCUCCCCACACAGGCUUUCUGUGAUUUCUGUGCCUACCAUUGCAACCCUUCCCCUUUUAUGCCCCCCCACCACCACCACGGUCCCUAGCUGUCCCUUAGCCUGUCUUAUCACUAUAUAAUCUCUUGUUUACUUUUUUAUUAUCUGAUUCCCAAACUGGAAUAAAAGUCCAACAUAGCUGCAGCCCCAGCAAUGACCACAGAGUUAAUACUCAAUAAAUACUUGUGAAAUCAAGUGAAUGGGAUGGGGCGAGAAAUGACAUAUGAGCUGCUCUGCACUAGAGAGAAGAGAUACAAAUAGGGAGUGCGAUCUGAGAUAAAUGGAACCUUCCCUUGUGCCCACAAUGUAACUUCUACAAAGCACCAUUAAAGUACCAGUCAUUGCA